rnacentral:rRNA from 1 species
CAGUCGCCGCGGUAAUACAGAGGGUGCAAGCGUUAUUCGGAAUUACUGGGCGUAAAGCGCACGCAGGCGGUUGCCCAAGUCAGAUGUGAAAGCCCCGGGCUUAACCUGGGAACUGCAUUUGAAACUGGGCAACUAGAGUAUGAAAGAGGAAAGCGGAAUUUCCAGUGUAGCAGUGAAAUGCGUAGAUAUUGGAAGGAACACCGAUGGCGAAGGCAGCUUUCUGGGUCGAUACUGACGCUCAUGUGCGAAAGCGUGGGGAGCAAACAGGAUUAGAUACCCCUGUAGUCCCUGUCUCUUAUAC